UACGAAGGGGGCUAGCGUUGCUCGGAAUCACUGGGCGUAAAGGGUGCGUAGGCGGGUCUUUAAGUCAGGGGUGAAAUCCUAGAGCUCAACUCCAGAACUGCCUUUGAUACUGAAGAUCUUGAGUUCGGGAGAGGUGAGUGGAACUGCGAGUGUAGAGGUGAAAUUCGUAGAUAUUCGCAAGAACACCAGUGGCGAAGGCGGCUCACUGGCCCGAUACUGACGCUGAGGCACGAAAGCGUGGGGAGCAACAGGG
rnacentral:rRNA from 1 species